GUAGGUGGCAAGCGUUGUCCGGAAUUAUUGGGCGUAAAGCGCGCGCAGGCGGGUUCUUUAAGUCUGAUGUGAAAGCCCACGGGCUCAACCGUGGAGGGUCAUUGGAAACUGGAGAACUUGAGUACAGAAGAGGAAAGCGGAAUUCCACGUGUAGCGGUGAAAUGCGUAGAGAUGUGGAGGAACACCAGUGGCGAAGGCGGCUUUCUGGUCUGUAACUGACGCUGAGGCGCGAAAGCGUGGGGAGCAAACAGGAUUAGAUACCCUGGUAGUCCACGCCGUAAACGAUGAGUGCUAAGUGUUAGGGGGUUUCCGCCCCUUAGUGCUGCAGCUAACGCGUUAAGCACUCCGCCUGGGGAGUACGGCCGCAAGGCUG
rnacentral:rRNA from 1 species